ensembl:lncRNA
GCUUGCUUACCUUGCUCCCCUGCUUAACUGGAUAAAUUUGUUUUGGUUUAAUAAAUCUUCAGGUUGGAUUUUAAAAAAAUACAAUGAAAAAGAAUGGCUCAUGUGAAUGUGUGUCCAGGAGAUGUAUCCUUGGAAUCGGAUACCUUCCAGGAGCCUGACCUCUAUCUCAAGGUCUCUCCUUUGCAAGAAUAUGUUGAAUUUGUAGCAUCAUUUCCCCCCCCCCCCAAUAAAAGUCUGCCCAUUGGUUAGGAAAUGGCCUCUGAAUGGAAUAGAAUUGUAUAUGAAAAAAAUGAAUAGAGAGAAUUCAGAGAAACCUGGGAAAACAUGAAUUAGUACAGAGCAAAAUACAUUGAACUUGUAUUAACAGGUUAAUACAUUUAUUUUAUUUUAAGAUCUACAAAGUGCCUUAUAUAGACUCAUUGAUCAGUCCCAUUUUAUUUCUUAUUCCUGAUUUCUCCUCUUUCCCCAUAAAACCCAGUCAGAAAUACCCUUUCCUUUUACCCUUUUUAGGGGGGCCAAACAUACCCUAUCACCAGAAUGAGUUCUUUUAUCUUAUCUGCCAUUCAGACUCUUGAGCUAAGCCCAGCUGCUACUACCUCUAUGAAGCCCUUGCCCAUCCUAUCUAUUCCCAAAGUCCCUAGUGCUCUUUCCCUCCUAAAGUCACUUUGUAUUUCUUUUUUGUAAAUUCAUAUUUUCCAUGUUAUGUCACCUACUAGUGCACAAGCUCCUUCAGAUAAGGACAGUUGCUUUUAUCUCUAAUUCCCAAUGCCUACCUGGCACACUGUCUUAAAUAUCAUAGGAGAUCCAAUACCUGGGGUCAGGAAGACAUGGAUUCAGAUGCAGACUCAGACACUUCUCUGUGUGACUCCAGCCAAGUCAGGUAACCUCUUUCUGUCUGUUUCUUCAAAUGGAAAUAAUGAUAGUCUCUAUUUCUCAAGGUCAUUAUAGAAUAAAAUGAGAUAUUAAAGUAUUUUACAAAAGUUAAGGCUUUCUAUAUAAAUGCUAGUAGUUAUUGUUAGCCUUUAAUAUUUUGUUCAAUUGACUGGUUAAAUUAUUCUCAAACAGCUUUUGUCAGAUGUGUAAGAGUGAGCAAUAAUUUCAAAAUGGAGUCGUCUGACCCCAUUUGGGGUUUUCUUGGCAAAUAUACUAGAGUGGCUUGUCAUUUCUUCUCCAGCUCCUUUUACAGAGGAGGAAACUGAGGCAGAGUCAGAUGACUUCCUCAGAGUCACACAGCUAGUGAGCCACUAAGGCCAGAUUUUAACUCAGGAAGAUAAGUUUUUCUGACUCCAGACCUGGCACUCUGUCCACCACACCAGUCCCUCAAAAAUGGAAUAAUAAAUUAUUAAUUUCUUAGGAAUAGAAAGGAGGGUGGGGAGGGGACAGACAGCGAGGGUUACUGAGACCCUUCUCAAAAUUAGUAUUUUUGUUCAUUCGUAGUUACUGAGGUUACCAAGCUUCAUUUAAAUGAGUGACUUUCAGACUUAAUACUGCUUAUUUUAAAAAUUACUUUUCGUCAGAUAAUUUUAAGAAAAUUUAGGAGAGGAGUGAUUUUUGGAGAAGGACCUGCCCGAAGAGCUUCCCCACCCCUCACCCCCGACCCUGUGGGAGGCUAUGAUUAGGUGGAGGGCCAGAGGAGAUGGACCAGGAAUGCUGCUAAGGAGGUGGGAAGUCACGAGCUUCCUCAGCUCCGAAGGUUCGCCUUGGUCACUCCCAUCUUUAAUUGUUGGUCCAUCCAGAAUAUCCUCCUGGGCAAUCCGUCUUUUUGCAGAGACCUGAGAUAGUGCCUUCCGUAACAAACUGCAGCCAGCAGCAAAACCAAACCCCCACAUUCUUUACCCAGAUCCCAGAAUUUGGAGUCAAAUCUAGGUACAGUUCUCCGGCCUGGAUUGCACUUGGGCUCGCUGCAGAUCCCCUCGUGGAAAGAAACCCAAUUCGAAUGUUAAAGUGAAAUGUUUUCGUGAUUUUUCACAAGUGUCUGGAAGGUCCUGGAGCUUUCGGAGAUCAUGAAGAAAAGGAUGGUCUCUUCUGUCCAGAGCCAGAACUCGCUCCCGCAUGACUGGAAAGAUUUAAGAGGAAAGAUUCCGUGACAAGUGCUGUCCUCUGACCAGUGCAUCCGAGGACACUCUAUCCCCUGGCGUACUACAAGGAGCAUUUGGACCAAGGCAGGGAUUGGGAACCUUUCUGGGGCCAUGGACCUUUUUGUAAGCCUAGGGACAGAAUAAUGGCUAAGUUAGGAUCACCAAGAAAGCAAUUCUAUUGAAAUACACUUGGCAAAAUAUUCAGAGAGGUUGAAGAUUUGCAAAGUGUGAAUCUUAUUUUAUCUUCCACUGUUCCUGGGAAACAGAUAUUAUCGUUCUUAUUUUACAAAGGAGGAAACUGAGGCAGGCAGAUUGGGUCACCUAGGGUGGCUGGUUGCUGUCCUCGAAGAAGACCAAAAUGACACGACUGUCAGAGUCGUUUUCGGUGUGUCGGGCUACAGUUGAUCAGACCAGCACAAGCUGGGAAUACUGGCCACAACCGUCCUUAUAAACAUUUGGGGAGGACUCUCUAGUUUUGUGCAUCUCACAUUUUCUUCUGGGCUAAUUCAAUCCUGCUGUGCUCCUGGAGGAGGGCACGCCAUGCCGGGCGGUCCUGGCCAGGGUAUCCUAUGUCAUACGAUCGAUUCUAAAGUUCUUAAAAAGACCUUGAGUGAGUCCUUAUAGGGUUUGCCCUCCAACCCUUUGCUUUCCCAGGGCCUAUCUGGCUGUCUUGCAAUGAACUUUUAGGCCCCGAUUCCCCCAGAUUGUGUGUGAUCUCUGAAAGUUGGGACUGCCGGCUUCUUCUCGGGGCUGGUGCUGAGCACAGCUCACACCCAGGAAGGGCUUAAAGCUCCCCUGCACCCAUUCCCCGAUUCCCCCGGGCCCGAUGAUGACCGAAGUUCUGUCUGGAUUUGUGGUCCUGUGAAUGUGCUGUGGGGGAAGUCUAAACACACUGGCGGCCUGCCCAAGUGGGGGAGCUGCCCCGGAGGGUCGGGCUGGCCCGCUGCCCACUGCCCCCUAACGUUACCGAGGCUCCUGGGACCACAGGGCCAAAGUUCCCGGCCUACCGCGGGCCUCGGCCCUGGAGCCCUGCCCGGGAGGGUAUCUGGGGAGGCUAGACAAGGAGAAUUCCAAGCAUGCUCUCAGCCGUUCCCUCCGUGAUCUGAUCCUGCCGCCCCGGCUCUGGCCCCACUCUGGCCCAGCUCUGGCCCCGGCCUCUUCCCGGCCCUUGACUCUCCUCGCAUAAAUUUCUGGAAAAGGGAAGGAAUUGGGAAGAAAAACAGAGCCGAGAACUCCAGAAAAGACCCGACUUCUGCUUGAAAUGACGGACAGCUAGUCUGCUUAUCUUGAAAUGCAAAUAAUAAUGGAAAUCGAUUUCAGGCUUUACAGUCUUAGAACCGCAGCCUGGGAAGGAACUUUGGAAGCUCUAGGGCUGACCCAGACCUGCCCAAGAUCCCCUCUGAUCCCCAUCGGGGCUGGGCCAGCCUUUGUCUGAACUCAUUCCCAUUCCACUUUUCCACAACCCUUUAUCUGCUAGUAAUAAUAAUAAUACAUUUACUCAGACAAUGCUUACUGUGCGCCAGACACGUACUAAGCGCUUUACAAGUGACUCAUCUGGUCCUUGCAAAGCUGUCAUUAUCCCCAUUUCACAGCUGAGGAAACUAAGGUAAACAGAUGAUAGUGACUUGCCCAGAGUCUCCUAGCUAGCAAGUGUUCUGAGGCUGGGGCUGAUUCCGGCAUUCCACCACCCAACUGUCUCUGUGGCUCCCAGCUCUGGCCUCUAGAACAGACCGAAGCCUGUUUCUGUUUGUAUCCCACCCCUCUCAGAACCCUGAGGGCAGCAGUCUCACUUAUUUCAUCCUGAUCCUCAGGCUCAUGGACCCCCCCCCCCCAGGUGAGUCACUUUCAGGUACAAGCCCCCUCCCCACUUCUAUAAAACAAGUGCUCAACUUGAGUGACAGUUGGAACUCCUCCAUAGGCUGGCUACCGGCCCCCAGCUUUUGAACGCUGAAAUGCACUAUGAUUUUAUUGGGACCUCUGGAAAGAUAUUGAGAGAGAGGACAAAGGCCCUUCCCUCCUCCCUCCUUUAUUCCUAAUUAGCCUUAGGACAGCACUAGCAAUAAGUAAGAAAGCUUUUCAGGUCAUAAUCAGUUUAAAAACCACUUAAGUUCUCAGUUUUGUUUGUGUUUUGCUGAAGCAAUUAGGGAUAAGUGACUUGCCCAGGGUCACACAGCUAGGACGUGUUAAGUGUCUGAGAUCUGAUUUGAACUCAGGACCUCCCAGCUUCAGGGCUGGUGCUCUAUCCACUGCCCCACCCAGCUGCCCCAAGUUCUCCGUUUUUACAGAACCUUUGGCAGGGACUGGAGAAAGAGGCACAAGAGGUAGCAGAGGUUACAGAAUAUGCGCUCAGGGAACAGAGACAAAGGCCAAAUGGUUGUUCCCGGCUUGUUGGCUCAGGAAACUAGAACUGGAGCAGACCUUUAGGGGACGGGCAGGGUAGGCUCAAGUGGAACGGAGCAAACUCAAGAGGACCGCGUUGGGGGAGUGGCGCUGGCCAAGGAAAAGUGCAGAAUGUGUUGGGAGAAUGACCGGUCCAGUUUGAGUGAAUUCUCUCGAGAGUUCCUGGAGGAAAACACCAGGAGAGACCCCGCUAACCCUGAGAGAACAGCCCGGACUCCGGCAGUGCUGAUGCUGCCCUCUCCUACAAUCGGGCAGGGAAGACAAAAGUCAGACUGGACAGCGAUUGCAAUCAAAAUUACAAGCUCCCCUUGCUCCUUCCCACAGUCCCUUAGGGAGCAGUCCGGGGUGGGGGUGGGGGGGCGUGGAGGGGGUCUUUCCUGGUCAGAAGAGUAGCGAUGGCCCCCCCUCCAAAAACUAUUCCCCCAAAGGCUGACCGCUGCACCAGCUUGGCAGCUGGGGUGAAUGGGGCAGGGGGGGCGUCACUCGGACAAUUUCCCAAAGUCUACCUGACUUGGGCUGCCUGUGGAUGGACUCCUCGCCCUCCCCUGUUUUAUAAUCUUGUUUUCCACAAAGUUAAUUUUCCACCGGCUGCCUGCGGCCUUAGGGGUACUACUUCCUUAUCCAGAUUCCGCGUAAACAACAGGAACUUAGUGGGGGUCCUGCCGGGGCCUGGCCAGACCUCCUCGGUCAGGAAUAACAUGGGACAAAUAAGGGGAGCACCAGGCCGGGAGAUCUCAGGGGGUCUGGCCGUGGGAUUGAGGCUUCUGGGGAGCCACAAGGAAAUGUGACUGUCGACAGAAACGGGAUUAGAUCCGUGCAUGAGGAUGAUUGGUCUGACCCUUGUGGAGAGGGCACAUUGGAGAAAGGGAAGGGCCCAUGGGUAGGGAAGAAAGGUUGAAACUGCUGAUUAGAUAGGAGGAGUGUGGGACAGGGAAGUUAUGAAGAGAAUACACAGGAACCAAAGGGAAUGAAUGCGGGAUGUCCCUGAGCCCAACAGUCCCUUGGGAAGGAAGAGGAGGCCGGGGAAGCAGAAGAAGGAGGGACUCACACCGGGACAUGCCGUGUUUCAGGCAGAACUGGGCCAGUCAGAUGGAGGUAUUCUCCAGCAGUCGGAGACAGGUCUUCCGGAGGUUGGAAAAGAUGUUAUGUCUGGGGACAGAUCAUUUGCAGAGGUGACAGCUGAAUGGGCAGGUGUGAAUGAGCUUGAUGAGGGAGUGGAAAGUGGCAAAGAGAAAGACAGACAGACGCAGCGACCUAGAGAGACAGUUCAAGAUAAAGACAGAGAGGGACAGAGACAGAAAAAGACAGAGAGACUAAAACUGGGACAGAGACAGAGAGACAAAAAAGGCGAGAGGGACAGAGAAGGACAGCGACUGACACAGAAAGUGAGAGAGAAAUAGAGACAGAGAAACAGAAAAAAAUAGAGACUGAAACUGGGACCGAGAGACAGACAAAAAGUCAAGAGGGACGAAGACAGACAGACAUAUGCACACAAAGAGACAGAAAAAGUCACAGAUGGACACAGAGAGACUGAAACUGGGAUGGAGACGCAGAGAGACAAGAACAGAGACAGAUACACACGCACAAACACAGAGAUAGAAAGUGAGAGAGAAAUAGAGAUAGAGACAGAAAAAGACAGAGACUGAAACUGGGACUGAGAUAGACAAAAACAGACAAGAGGGACAGAGACAGAUAUACGCGUAAAAGCUGUGACACACAGAGAGAAAUAGAGACAGAGACAGAAAGAGAGAGAGAGAAAGGCAGAGACAGAGACUGAAACUGGGACGGAGACAGAGAGAUAAAAACAGACAAGAGAGAGGGACAGAGACAGACAUAGAGAUAGACUGAGACAAAGAGAAAUAAAAACAGAGACAGAGAAAGAUACACAUAGAGACAGUAAAGGAUAGAGAGACAGAGAGAGACUGAAACUGGGACAGAAACCCAAAGAGACAGACAAAAACAGAGACAAGAGAGAUAGAGAGGGACAGAGAGACAGACAUACUCACACAGACACAGCCUGAAACAAAGACAAAUAGACACAGAGAAAGAGAAAGAUACACAUAGAGACAGAGUCAGACACACACAGAGAGACAGAAAGUGAGAAAGAGACAAAGAGAAAAAGACAGACAGACAGACAGCUCGUGAGAAGCAAAGGGAACCCUGAACACUCAGUGAUGAUGUAAAAAAAAAAAAAAAUAGUGGGUCUCUGAGGCCAGGGGAAAGAUGGAGGAGGGAUGAUCAGUCUGGGAAUCUUGGACUUCUUAGCUAUUUCAUCUCAUGAAGAAAGGUGACCCAGAGAAUAUUGUAGUUAACACAAUGUGGCUCUGACUGUGGUUCCUGGAGCUCAAGUCUCCCAGGCUCAGUGGAUCAUGGCACCGGAGCUGAAGGGGACCCCAGAAUCCGACUCCUUCAUUUGACUGAGGAGAAACUGAGGCACAGAGAGGAAUCUCACAAGAGAGCUGAGCUGUGACCCCCAGUUCCCCAACCCCGAUCGCACACGCUGCCUCUUUGGGGUCCGCACCUACCCGCCUGGGUUGUGUUUUAUUUAAACAGGGCCAGGGGAUGGACAAGUUGUUCCUUCCCUGGAGUCCAGGGUGCGCGCUGCAUUUCCACAAUGGACGCCUUCUGCCCUCUCGUGGCCAACUUCGGGAGCUCCUCCUGCAGCUUCGAAGGGUUUCUGCUCCAAGCACUUGGUAUGGAAGGGAAGCAAAGGCUCCUCUCUGGAGCGGGAGGUCUCAAUUUCCCAUCGCUUGCUCGGCCUUUCACUGGCAGCCACGGAACUCAAGGGAAGCCAAAGAAGCCUCUGCUUGGGCCCGGGAUGUGUCCGCCUUCCCCCUUCCCCUCCAGCUCUCUUACCUUUAUGGGACAACGUGGACCAGACUUACGCAGGAUGGAGGGCGUGGAAGGGCUGCAAUCUGCUGUAGAAGGGAAUGUCUGCAUUGUAGAAGUGACAGAUCGUUAGAGUAGAAAGGAAAACUAUUCAUAGUGAGGUCCAGAGAACAGCGGCUCAGGUCGAAUAAUGGAACAUUUUCAGGGGAUGUAUGAUCUAACACUCCAACACAAAAAACAUUAGAUCUGACUCGUGAUAUAGCAUCCUUGUCUCCGUUUCCUCAUGUGUAAGAUGAGGAUCUUGUUCUACAUCACAUAUUCCCGUCCACUUCUGAAAUUCUUUGACUCAUAUUCUCUCUGGAUACUGAUUGCUUUUUUGUGUAACCUGUGGUCUAGAACCAAAGUUCUAGGUUUAAACCGUUUACGUUUAUGGAGGGCUUCUCUCCGGCUUAUGUUCUUGGACAGGAUUUUCCUUGGAAACAUCAGAAUUUGGCUUGUUUCUAGACAUCCACAACAAAAAGAAAGUGGGACUUCAGUUCCCUUGUAAGCACUCAGGUGACCAUAGCAAUGUAGGGGAGGCCUUAUUAUUUAACAGAGAGAAAACACCAUGUUUUGUCCUGGAGCUCGGAACAGCCAGCAAGAGCGACACUAAGAAAUCUCCAUUCCUCUACAUCUUCCUGCUCUGAGGCAAGGUUUGCUCCUCCAAGCUGGGGCUCUCCUUGCAGCCAGGUUGCGUUCCGUUCCCUCUUGGGCCUGAGGCUUUGCGGUGGCCAGAUCACUGUGUAAGCUUUUCCCGAGGGAGCCGAGGUCCCUUGUGUCUGACUGACUUACCCUGUUAGGUCUCUCAGCCCCGAUGUUCCCUCCAUUUGGCCUCCCCACCCUCCCUUUAGAGGGCAAAUCCAAGGGUGUAGCCCGAGUGGUGAAGCAAUGAAUCAUCUUCCACUGUGGUAUCAACAGCGCUCUUGGGACCAGGUCAGGAAUUCAUACUUUAUCAGGGAGUUGACCUUGUCUAAUAAUUCCAUUCUGGUUUUUUCUUUUUAUUAAUUUCAUUUCAUUUGUGAAUCUUUCUUUAUCACUCACAUUUCUCAGUGUUUCUUUCUCUCCCCCUUUCCAAUUUCUUCAGUCUUUUUUCAGUCGAAUCUUCCCAGUUCUUUCAACCAAUUCUCAUCCUUGUUGUUCAGUCCUUUUGUAGUUGUAUCUGUCUAUGACCCCAUUUGAGGUUCUUUUGGCAAAGAUACUAAAGUGGCCUGCCAUUUGCUCAUUUUACAGGUGAGAAAACUGAGGCAAACAGGAUUAAAGGACUUGUCCAGGGUCAUGCCUCAGUUGUAUGAUUUGAACCUAGGAAGAUGAGUCUUCCUGAUUCUCGAUGCCCUUUCCACUAUGGUUCUCCCUCGCUGCCCACUCUCAUGUGACAUACCUAAAAAACCCCCGCGCAGCUGCCCCUCUGCAGGUGGUCACACUCAUACUCUCUUGGUAGUCACUCUGGAAAGCAAUUUGAUGUGGCCCAAUGUUAUAGGCUGUCAAGACCUUUCGAUCCUGCACACACAGUCACUCACACUCACACUCACUCUCACAUACACACAUUCAUACACAUUCAUGCUCACACACACUCACACACACUUACACACACAUGCACACACACUCAUACACACACACACACUUACACACACACAUGCUGACUCACACACAGUCCCAUUCACACACACUCGGCUCCCUUUCAUGGAUUAUCUUUUCCCAUUAGAACAUAAGCUCCUCGAGGACAAGUGCUGCCCACUUUUUUGCUCGUACUUCUAUCUUCAGAGCUUAGAACACAAGCCCAUAAUUUGUGCCCUCCCUGCUCUUCGUUGACAAGCAUUGUUUAGGUGCUUAAAAUUUCUCUUCUAUUUGUUUUGCAGAACUGAGAACUUGCCAUUUUUCCUCACUGACCAGGCUGGUCCUUCUGGCCUACUUAGGGGCUGUUGGCCUCCGCGGCAGGUUUGGAGGCCGUGUGGAAAAGGAUCUUUGGAACACCAGCUUUCCAGGCUGUCUUCCAAGGGGGACAGGAGUCCUAUUUCCUCUCUCUGGCCGUUGAACAAUGAGUUAGUUAACGGUAACUUGUGCAGAGCCUGCCCCUGCAAAGGUGGGGAGAGCUUGUUGACCGGCCCCCUUGGGAUGCUGACAGGGUGGCCCAUUUCCCCAGCUCCAGGGCCCUCCGAGCUGUCCUUUGCAGGGCUUUGUGCUGUGAGUUCAUGCGGCCGUGGUCAGCGACUGGCCUGAGCGGACGCAGAAUGUGCUUUGGGGGCGGAGGAGGAUCUGGCGGCCGGAGGCAUUGUCCCAGGAGGCUCGAGUCUGGCCCGGUACUUGGACUCUUGGACAAAUCCUUUGCUUCAUGUUGGAUGCCCAGCCUAGGCAUGAGACAGUGCAGGUCAGCCCUUCUCUCUAUAUAGUCUUGGGCAGUGAGAAGGUUUUCCUGGCUGCAUUUAGGCUCACUUCCCCCUUUUGGGCCUCCUCUGGGGCCACUCUGCCCACAUGCUUCUCCCUGGCAUGGGGUAAGAGAGGGUCUGUCUGGCAUUCAUACCCCCCCACACCCGGAUGAGAGCUGGGGUGGCUGGUCUGGAAGCACGUCAGAGGGGAGGGCCACCUCCUAUGACCCUCCCUAGGGGACUAUGGGAUUAUGAGGCCCAAAGAGAUGCCGCAUUAGGUGCUCAGAGCUUGCCAUAUUUAGCCCCACAAACCUCUUUUUUGGUUACUGACUUGUCUUUCUCGAACAGUGGCCAUCCCCCAGCCUGUUCUC